rnacentral:misc_RNA from 1 species
GGAAAGCGGUCUCAUUCUCAGUCAGAUUAUGGUGAAAACGGGGGAAAUAAAAGGAGAAAUACUAGAAAUGAUAAGGAUCCUUUCUCUAUUGGCCCUGAUGAUACAGUAUAUCGGUACUUGUGUUCAGUAAAGAAGAUUGGCAGCAUCAUAGGUAAAGGUGGGGAGAUUGUUAAACAAUUAAGGGUGGAUACGAAAUCAAAAAUUAGAAUUGGAGAGACAGUACCUGACUGUGAUGAACGUGUUGUCACCAUCUACAGCUCAAGUGAAGAAACAAACGAGUUUGAUGGCACUGAAGUUCGUGUUUGUCCAGCUCAGGAUGCCCUUUUCAGAGUAUAUGAUAAAAUUAUCAGUGAUGACACUACUGAUGAGAACUCUGAGGAAGCAUCACAGGUUACUGUUAAGCUUUUAGUACCUUCAGAUCAGAUUGGAUGUAUUAUUGGGAAAGGGGGACAGAUAGUUCAGGACAUUCGAAGUGAAACUGGUGCUCAGAUUCGUAUUUUGAAAGAUAAGCAUUUGCCUGCAUGUGCAUUGAGCUCAGACGAACUUGUGCAGAUAUCUGGUGAAGUUGCUGUAGUGAGGAAGGCUCUCUUUGAAGUUGCAACUCGUCUUCACAAUAAUCCAUCCCGUACCCAACACAUUCUAGCCUCCGAUGCACCAACUAUCUACUCCUCGCGCAGCUCACUUAUUGGUUCUGCUGGUGGUGCUCCAAUAGUGGGAAUAGCUCCUUUAGUGGGGCCAUAUGGGGGUUACAAAGGGGAGAGCAGUGAUUGGUCAAGGUCUUUCUACUCUGCUCCAAGGGAUGAAUCAUCUUCAAAGGAAUUUUCUCUUCGUUUAGUGUGUCCUGCUGCAAAUAUCGGAGGUGUUAUUGGCAAAGGUGGAGUCAUAAUAAACCAAAUUAGACAAGAGUCUGGUGCAGUGAUCAAGGUUAAUAGUUCUAAUGCUGAAGGUGACAAUUGUGUGAUUUCUAUUUCUGCAAAAGAGUUUUUUGAGGACACAUAUUCUCCCACAAUUGAAGCAGCACUGCGCUUGCAACCAAGGUGCCGUGAGGAAGUGGAACGGGAUUCAGGUCUUAUAUCAGUCACCACAAGGUUGCUGGUUCCAGCAUCUCGAAUCGGCUGUCUUAUUGGGAAAGGAGGAUCCAUAAUUAAUGAGAUGAGGAAAAUCACAAAAGCUAAUAUUCGCAUUCUCUCGAAGGAAGAUCUUCCAAAGGUUGCAUCUAAUGAUGACGAGAUGGUACAGAUAUCAGGAGAUCCAGAUGCUUCAAAGGAUGCACUCAUGCAAGUAACAUCACGUUUAAGGGCUAAUCUUUUUGAAAAAGAGGGACCCAUGUCUGCCUUUGUGCCAGUUCUCCCCUACCUCCCCAUGUCAACAGAUUCAGAUACCUUGAAAUAUGAACACAGAGAUACUAGGAGACAGGGACGUGAACAUUCCUACUCAGCUGGUUAUGGUGGUACUAGUGACCUUCCACAUGCUGAUGGUUUUGGAAGUUAUGGUACUCUCCAGAGUAGUAGCAGUGUAGGAUAUGGGGCAUAUGAAGGAUAUUCCCCUGCUUAUCCAAAAGAAGGAUAUUCCCAUGGGCGUUCCAGUGGAUCCGGGUCAUCAAGGCAAAACUCUGCCCCCCGGAGAAAAAGUU